rnacentral:lncRNA from 1 species
GUGUCGCUAUUGUCAUAAGAAAAGUCACAAUAUCUCUGAAUGAUAUAAGCUGAAAAAUAAAGAAAAACAUAAGGAAAGAAAAAAUGAGCACAAAAAUACUGACAUUGCCGAAGCAAGUGUAGCUGCUGAUGAGACUGAGAGAACUAUUUUUUUAGCAACUAAUAAUAGUUUCAAAUCUAACAAUGAGUGGAUUUUAGAUUCGGGUUGUUCUUAUCAUAUGUGUCACAAUCGAUAUUUAUUUACCACAUAUGAAUCUAUUGGAGGUGGAGUUGUCUUGAUGGGCAACAAUGCUACCUGCAAAGUUUUUGGAAAAGGUACAGUCCGAAUCAAAAUGCACGAUGGUGUGGUGAGAAUUCUCAUUGAUGUUAGACAUGUUCCUGACUUGAAGAAAAAUCUCAUCUCUUUGGGCACUCUAGAAUCUCUUGGGUGCAAGUACACAGGUGAAGGUGGAGUUUUGAAAGUUUCUCAUGGUGCUCUUGUGAUCAUGAAAGCACACAGAUCUGGUUCGUUGUAUACUUUAUUAGGAUCCACUGUUAUAGGCCCUACUACAGUUUCGAUAUCAGACAAUUUGUCUGAUUUUGAUGGUAUUAAAUUUUGACAUAUGCCCAUUGGGGCUUUUGCGGAGAAGGUGGAGCAAAUUUACUAUAUCAUCCAAAAUUAGGCCAAGGUGGAGAUUUGUAAUAUGGCCAUUAUUUUGUCAAAUGGAAUCCAUCUCACAUAAGCAUAAGCAUCUUUGCAAAGUGUAGACUUUGUUAGCAAUAUUCUUUGGGACCCAAAAAUAUUGCAUUGUGUGUUGGACAUCAUUUGCACAAGUUGUAUCUCUUCUUUUACACCUAAGAGGUCAAGACUUUUUUGCCUAUAAAAGGGAAGGCCAUUAGUUCAUUUUAGACACACCAACAAGACUUGUCUUCAAUUCUUGUUUCUUCCUUUCUUCCUUUAUUAAGAGUGUUUUGUAUGAGAGUUAGUGUUGGAAAGUACUUGUGUGAACCCUUUCUUUGGAGUGAUCUUGUGAGAUUAUUCUCUUAAGGUAUUUGGGAUUAAUUAGAGUGUUUACUCUAAUUUUGUACUCUCUUUUGUACUCUUAUUGUUAUAGUAAAUUGCUCCUCUCCGCUUGUGGACGUAGGUCACUUUGACCGAACCACGAUAAAUUUUUGUCUUCUUUAUCUACUUUAAUUGUCGUCUUCCAUUGUCUUUGUUAUUGUCAUUAUACCGUUGUUCGGCUAAAUUUCGCACUGCCCGGGUUCCCGAUCCUGACAGUAGUAGUGAAAACCAUCCUCCUUAAGUGCAUAGAACUAGUCAGUAUUUAUAGUAGCGAAUUAGCCUUAGGGCGUGUCACUAUAAUGGAAAAGAAUCAUAAAACUAGAUAUCAAAUAAAGAAAGAUUCAGAUUUUUUUUAACAUAUCAAAAUUUCCUUUAAGCAAGGAUUCGGGGACUGAAGCGAAAUUGGAGUAUUCGAACUAAAAAAUGAACCGUUGGUGAUUAAUUUUGGCAGAAAAAGAUUAUGAUUAUGGGAAAACUUCGCUUUACAUUAUCGAAAAAAUCAGAAGAGAAUAUUGAUAAUUCAAUUUUCAAAACUCAAUCCAAUCGAUAAGAAAAAAUGAAGAAUAGGCGAAGUGCUUACCUCAAAACCUGUCCAUAUUCAUCUAACUAAUUUGAACCUACGGAUGCCGAUAUGGAAAGAAAAGCAUGCAAACCUUCACUCACGACAGGGAUUUAGACCAAAACUGAAACUAAAAUCUCGGCUCUCAAUCGCAAUUUCUUUACAGAUUUGAAGAGGAAAAGAAUUGAGGAAAGAAAGUUAAAAAGAAUAUUUUAAAAAAAGGAAACAAAUCAAAGAAUUGGGGAAAGGUGUUGGCGAGUUGCUGGCGAAAUCGUAGGGGAAGACGAUGGUUGCAUUUUGGGAUUUUUUUUAGGAAAAGAAAAAGUUAAUUGUUUGAAGGCUAAAGGUUAUUAGGGGAAUUGGGGUUUGGCGCUUUGGAUGUUUGUUGGCAAGGUGAAUUUGAUUGGGUCUGGGGUUCUAAUUGG